AUGAGUGUGUCCAGCACAGGUGUCAGAACGGAGCCACCUGCUUGGAUGAAGUUGGUGGGUACAGAUGCCUUUGCGGUCACGGAUAUACUGGAGUCCACUGCGAACUUGACAUUGACUUCUGCUCUGGGCAUCAGUGUUCAGAACACGCCGUCUGUCUGGACCAACAGCACAACUACACCUCCCACUGCAUGCUGGGAUAUGAGGGAACAUUCUGUGAGCUUCAGACAGAUGAAUGCAAAAGUAUUGCAUUGAUUUGGUGACAGGUUACCAGUGUGCUCUAGCAAUUCUACUGAGGCGGGAAACCAUCUCUGUGCUUUUGACAGGCAUUGACUUUCAAAAUCUAAUAUUGCUGAAUUCCUCAAGAUUAAAAAGAAAAUGUGGCCAUUUAGCCUAAUUGUGAUCCGUUGUUUAAAAUUAUUGAAAUUAAAAUCUUUAGAAUUCACUUUUUUAUAUAUUUAUAUGAACUUGCAUUUAUUCAGGCUUCUCUCUAAUAUUUAAUUAUCAAUAGAGCAACAAUUAUGAUUAAAUAUGUUACAUUACGGAAGUAAAACAUGUUGCAAAUAGUUAUUUAUAAUGACUUCAAAAAAUGGUCACAGAAGUAUAACAUGAUACCAUACAGGCAUCUUGUUAUCUAUUUGUCUGUGUUAAUGUUCAUCAUGCAGGUCGAACAUAUUCCGAGAAUAUGAAUGAGUGCUGGUCCAGACCCUGCCUUAAUGGGGGCACCUGCAUUGAUCUGGUCAAUGACUACAUUUGUAACUGUCUACUCGGUAAGUUAAGUCCAGCACUCUGUUCCAAAACAACAGAUACAUCCUGAGCCGAAAGCAGUUGUGCUACACCAUGUAUGAUUUAGAGAACUUGAUAUAUAGUAAACAUUAUGUUGAAAAAUGGCAUUGUUCUUGGGAAGGAGCCACGGGUCCAUAUAGGUAAUUAUUCCCCAGGAACCAUUUAGACUUUAGAGAAGAUCUUAUCUCCGCAGCUCACAUGCAUCUGUAGAUGUGAACCGUUAUUGGGUCCCAAGAAACAUGUCUUGUGUGACUCAUGCUCCCUGUUUUCUAGAUAAUCUACCAGCCCAAAGGGAAGAGAAUCCAUCAGUGUAAAUUUUCUAGUGUUUAUUAAAACGGCCUCUCUUUAAUUCUCUUAAAUAUGAUGUUGACAGAAAACAGACCUCCAUCUUGUCAGGACAGGUCUCAUUAGAGGGCACGAUACUUACGGGAGAUGGUGUGGUGUUGGAGGCCUUGAUCAGGUUAGAACCUUAAAAAUUCAUUUAGAUUUUGGAAUUCAACAUUCAAGAUUGAAUCUCAAAAUAAUAAGUGAUGGGAAGCCAUUUUCAAGGCCCUGUUCUCAGGAAACAGUGCCUGAAAG
ensembl:lncRNA